rnacentral:rRNA from 1 species
GGGUCAGUAGGUUGGUCGUGCCACCGGUACGUACUGGUCUCACUGAUUCCUCCUUCCUGAAGAACCGUAAUGCCAUUAAUUUGGUGUUGCGGGGAAACAGGACUGUUACUUUGAAAAAAUUAGAGUGUUUAAAGCAAGCUAACGCUUGAAUACAUCAGCAUGGAAUAAUGGAAUAGGACGAUCGAUCCUAUUUUGUUGGUUUCUAGGAUUGACGUA